UACGUAGGGAGCAAGCGUUGUCCGGAAUCACUGGGCGUAAAGGGCGCGUAGGCGGCCUGAUAAGUAGGGGGUGAAAUCCUGCGGCUUAACCGCAGGGCUGCCUUCUAAACUGUCAGGCUAGAGCACGGUAGAGGCAGAUGGAAUUCCCGGUGUAGCGGUGGAAUGCGUAGAGAUCGGGAAGAACAUCAGUGGCGAAGGCGGUCUGCUGGGCCGUUGCUGACGCUGAGGCGCGACAGCGUGGGGAGCAAACAGG
rnacentral:rRNA from 1 species